UACGAAGGGGCUAGCGUUGCUCGGAAUCACUGGGCGUAAAGGGUGCGUAGGCGGGUCUUUAAGUCAGGGGUGAAAUCCUGGAGCUCAACUCCAGAACUGCCUUGAUACUGGGGAUCUCGAGUCCGGGAGAGGUGAGUGGAACUGCGAGUGUAGAGGUGAAAUUCGUAGAUAUUCGCAAGAACACCAGUGGCGAAGGCGGACUCACUGGCCCGGUACUGACGCUGAGGUGCGAAAGCGUGGGGAGCAAACAGG
rnacentral:rRNA from 1 species